CAAAAGCUUGGUCCUGACUUUACUAUCAGCUCUAACCGAAUUUACACAUGCAAGUAUCCGCACCCCUGUGAGAAUGCCCUACAGUCCCCUGCCCGGGAACAAGGAACUGGUAUCAGGCACGUUUUAUUACUGCCCAUAACACCUUGCUAAGCCACACCCUCAAGGGAAUUCAGCAGUGAUAAAUAUUAAGCCAUAAGUGAAAACUUGACUUAGUUAAGGUUAAGAGAGCCGGUAAAACUCGUGCCAGCCACCGCGGUUAUACGAGAGGCCCAAGUUGAUAGAUCCCGGCGUAAAGAGUGGUUAAGAACAACAAAUGAUUAAAGCCGAACGCCCUCAAAGCAGUUAUACGCAUCCGAGGGUAAGAAGCCCCAUAACGAAAGUAGCUUUAUUAAUCCUGACUCCACGAAAGCUAAGGAACAAACUGGGAUUAGAUACCCCACUAUGCCUAGCCCUAAACAUUGGUAGCACACCACACCCGCUACUCGCCAGGGUACUACGAGCAUUAGCUUGAAACCCAAAGGACUUGGCGGUGCUUUAGAUCCCCCUAGAGGAGCCUGUCGUAGAACCGAUAAUCCCCGUUAAACCUCACCUUUCCUUGUUUUUACCGCCUAUAUACCGCCGUCGUCAGCUUACCCUGUGAAGGCCCCAUAGUAAGCAAAAUUAGCAUAGCUCAGUACGUCAGGUCGAGGUGUAGCGCAUGGAGAGGGAACAGAUGGGCUACAUUCCCUAGUUUAGUGAAUACGAAUUAUGCAUUGAAAUAUGCAUAUGAAGGAGGAUUUAGUAGUAAGCCGGAAAUAGAGUGUCCCGCUGAAAUCGGCCCUAAAGCGUGCACACACCGCCCGUCACUCUCCCCAAACUUAUACAAAUAUUUUAUAUAAAACCCUACAAUUUCUAAGGGGAGGCAAGUCGUAACAUGGUAAGCGUACCGGAAGGUGUGCUUGGAUAAAC
rnacentral:ncRNA from 1 species